rnacentral:rRNA from 1 species
AAAAGACCUUCUUCGGAGGGUAUGCUUAAAGAGGGGCUUGCGUCACAUUAGUUAGUUGGUAGGGUAAUGGCCUACCAAGACGAUGAUGUGUAGCUGGACUGAGAGGUUGAACAGCCACAUUGGGACUGAGACACGGCCCAAACUCCUACGGGAGGCAGCAGUAGGGAAUUUUCGGCAAUGGAGGAAACUCUGACCGAGCAACGCCGCGUGAACGACGAAGUACUUCGGUAUGUAAAGUUCUUUUAUUGAAGAAGAAACAAUAGUGGAAAAACUAUCUUGACGUUAUUCAAUGAAUAAGCCCCGGCUAACUAUGUGCCAGCAGCCGCGGUAAUACAUAGGGGGCGAGCGUUAUCCGGAAUUAUUGGGCGUAAAGGGUGCGUAGGCGGUUUAAUAAGUCUCUAGUUUAAUUUCAACGCUUAACGUUGUCCUGCUAGAGAAACUGUUUGACUAGAGUGAGAUAGAGGUAAGCGGAAUUCCAUGUGUAGCGGUAAAAUGUGUAAAUAUAUGGAGGAACACCAGAGGCGUAGGCGGCUUACUGGGUCUUUACUGACGCUGAUGCACGAAAGCGUGGGGAGCAAACAGGAUUAGAUACCCUGGUAGUCCACGCCGUAAACUAUGAGUACUAAGUGUCGGGGUUAAACUCGGUACUGAAGUUAACACAUUAAGUACUCCGCCUGAGUAGUACGUACGCAAGUAUGAAACUUAAAGGAAUUGACGGGAUCCCGCACAAGCGGUGGAUCAUGUUGUUUAAUUCGAAGAUACACGAAAAACCUUACCAGGUCUUGACAUACUCUGCAAAACUAUAGAAAUAUAGUGGAGGUUAUCAGGGAUACAGGUGGUGCAUGGUUGUCGUCAGCUCGUGUCGUGAGAUGUUAGGUUAAGUUCUAAAACGAGCGCAACCCCUGUCGUUAAUUGCCAGCACGUUAUGGUGGGGACUUUAGCGAGACUGCCAAUGAAAAAUUGGAGGAAGGUGGGGAUUACGUCAAAUCAUCAUGCCCCUUAUGAUCUGGGCUACAAACGUGAUACAAUGGCUAUUACAAAGAGUAGCUUAAACGCGAGUUUUUGGCAAAUCUCAAAAAAAUAGUCUUAGUUCGGAUUGAAGUCUGCAACUCGACUUCAUGAAGUUGGAAUCGCUAGUAAUCGCGAAUCAGCA